CAAGGAGUUUUGGUUUGGUGGGAGUUGAAGGGUAUGGGAAGCCCCUUGGGGCAGGGAAAACAAAGAUCGCGAUCCCUUCCCCCUUGGAGGAUGGGGGGGGCGCAGCGACCGCCCGUACCGCCGACCGCAUGCGGACGGAGCGAGAGCACCGAGGCAAGGACCCGAUAGGUGGUGAACUAUUCUCGGGCAGGACGAAGGCCGGGGAAACUCGGCUGGAGGUCCGAAGCGGUUCUGACGUGCAAAUCGAUCGUCCGACCCGAGUAUAGGGGCGAAAGACCAAUCGAACCACCUGGUGGCUGGUUCCCUCCGAAGUUUCCCACAGGAUAGCCGGUGCACGUGUGCAGUCUCGACUGUCGGUAGAGAGAAUGAUUAGAGUUGUUCGGGGACGCCCGUGUCACUCGACCCAUUCUCAAACUACGAACGGGCGAGCAACGGAUCCUCUCCCGAAUGUGCGGAGGUCCG
rnacentral:rRNA from 2 species